GGGAAUCCGGUGUAACUCCGGAACGGUCGCGCCACUGUGAGCAGGGCCUUCGGGCCGUGCGAGUCAGACC
rnacentral:ncRNA from 1 species